GGCACCGUCGAUAGGCGGCUUACUUUCUCGGGAGUAAAAUGCAGUCAACUCGCUACAUAAAGACCACUCGCAACGCGACUAAGGUAAGCAAAAAUUAUCUUCCUUCGCUGCACCUGCGGAGGAGUCCGAUGUGACGGAAGACCGCCACAUUAUACUUUUAUGAUACAGAACUGGUAGUAUUUUCAUUUUUUGGGGAGUGAGAUUUAACUACAAAGAAAUUUAAUGAAAUUAAUUGUACCUAGAAUAGAUGAUAUACCUGCGAUAUAAAGGGAGAAAAUAGAUAGGUCAAUUGAGGCCCUCCUAUAGGAAAUAUUAGAUGCUAAGGAGAGGAUUGGGUAAAUUAUUUAAUCUGUUUUUACUCCUGAAUUAAUAAAUCUUCCCAGGAGAUUGCUUACAUCGAUUCUCAAAUAAAAUUAUAACUGUGAUGAAAAAAGAAAUGAAAAGAUUCGACAAAUCUGUCGCCAAUCUGUCAUCAUUUAUGAAUACAGAUCUGUUGCAUAUUUGGCGUAAAUCUGCUGUGUUUACGUUGCAACAUCUGUUCUCAAUUUGCUGCGUGAAUCUGUCAUUGUAUUGCUAGUGACAGGUCUGCUCUGGUGCUGCACCCAAUUUGAUAUCAGGAUUUGAUAACAAUUUUUGCUUGCAAUUUGGGCGCACUCGAGGACACAGUAGGCCAUGGUUUUGGCAACCUGAUUCCGCAAGAAAUUUUUAGCAGUCUGCUGACAAUUUGGCAGUAAAUGGUUAGCUGGGUAAGUAGGGGUGCGUUCAGAAUGCCGGGCGUAUCGCUCUGGGUAGGGCGUUCGCGAGCGUUGCAUGGCGUCACGUUUUCAUCCGCUCAUUUAGAACGGCCAGAGUGAUUGAUGUAAACGGUAGAAAUGAUAGAGUAAAUUAUUACGCUGCGACCAAAAAAGAUAAUUGAUUUGAAGAUGAGUGAUACCGCUAAAUAUGUUCUCGUCACCGCAGAAAACGGUACUGCAAUACAAAAUGAGAAGGGAGACGUACUGGUUCAAGAUACACAAGAUGGAACAUUAAUCUACAUGUAGUUUAAAGUUGCGACACGAAUUUUUAAUAUUGAAAUUAAUUCUUCAAAUGAUGAAUGUACUGCAUCAACCAGUCCCAUCUCACUUGAUAAUCAAUCGACUAAAUGGUGCAUAUGCCAUCAACCAGUCCUGUCUCAUUUUUAGAAAACUCCCAAUCUGAUCGAAAUCAUUGGGACAGAUCACAGAUAUUGCAACUAAUAGAGGCAUAUAAAAAUCACAAACCAGAUUUUCAAUCCACGGUUAUGAAGAACGAAAAAGUGUGGCAAAUAAUUGGUGCGGAACUAGGACAUCACAGCAGUGAUCAAUGCAAUAAUAAGUUUAAGUAUUUAAAAACCGCAUAUAUGAAGAAAAAAGACAAUAUGUCAAAUAAAAAAACAGGUGCGGAUCAAAUAAAAUUUGAUUACUUGGAAGAAUUUGAUGCAAUUUUUGGCAACGAUGCAAAUGUAAAACCCGUUGCUCUUCAUCAUUAAAAGGUCAAGAAAAUGUUUCCUUGAUAGAUGAAUCGUUGAAUGAAAAGAUAAUUACCACGGAGGAUAAAAAUACAUUUGACACGCCAAAGAGGCAAAAACGGAACCUGCUUGAAAAGCAAUUAAUGUCUUACGAAUCAAAUACAGCAGAAAGGGAAAAACGAAGAGAACAACAACAUAAAGAUAAAAUGGAACAGCAAGAUAAAGCCAUCGCUGCAUUGAAUCAAAUUGCUGAAUGUUUUGCAAUUUACGUUGGAAAAAAAAGAUCCAAUGACGAGAAGGAAAAUAAGAAGCCAACAGAUCACAUUUAGAUUGGUAGAAGUAUCCCCUUUAUAUUUGCGUAAAAGUAUCCUUUUUUUAUUUUUACAUGUAUACACAUGUAUAUUUAUUUUUUGUUAUUUUAUAUGUAACAUGGCAAGCUGUCAUUUUAUUUUAAAGAAUUUUUUUAUUAAGAUUAACUUAACUUUUUUAUUAAGUAAAACGGUCCAAUCAAAAUAUCAAAAACGGAAUCUAAUUCCUUCUUGAGCAAUAUUAACGUUUUCCUCAUUAUUUACAUUAUUUUCAUUUCCGAAUAUAAAAGCUCUUCCCUCAGCCUCAUACAUCUCAGCUAAAUGGUCUGAAUGAUGUAAACAUAUAUUAUGCAGUACGCAAACUGCGAUUAUUGUUGCAGGAAUCAGAUCAAUCCUAUUCAUGUCUAAACAAAUGCAAACGUUUUGCACAAAUUACAGCUUGAAAUUGAAAGUAUUAAGCUCGGUUGCACUAAUGUUAUUUUGGCUUUAAGCAAGAUUUAAACAUCUAUCCAUUUUUAUUUUUCUUUCUAAAUAAAUAAAGAUAAACACAUAUACAAUUCUCGCUUAAAACCAAAAUAAUGUUAGUGCAAUCAGGCCUUAUUCAAUUAAAACUACAUGUUUCUUUCAGUAAAAAACAGUUUUUUUAACGAUGCUAUAUAGUUUUUGAUACUCUGAUUAGAGGUUUUUACUUAAUGAAAAAUGUUAACACGGUUUUCGAAAUUUAUAAUCAUGCAUGGUCAUAUAUAUUUUUGUUUUGUUGGUAUAGGUAUAGUUUAUGUGCAAUCUUGUAUGCUUUAUAUUCAUAUGAAACAAUAUAUUAAAUUAUGAAUAUUUAAAUGGUAUUUAAAUGAUCAUGCAUGAUUGUAUGUGAUCAAUAUAAUCAUUUUUACCGAAGCGGAAUAAAAAUAUUUUGUUUUGUAAGUUUCAUAUUAAUGUGAUAUGUUUUAUAUUUUUAAACGUAUUCGACAUUCUUAAUAGUGGUAUCUUAUAUGUAAUUAAAAUGUUCCUAUUUAACAACGUGAUAAAAAAACAGUAUUAAUAUAUUAAUAUUAAAAUAAUUUGUAGGCUGUAAUUCUAUUUAUUUAACAUGUCUUCAAAGUAUACAACUGAACAUUGUUAUAUUUAACAUUUUAAAAGUUUAAUUACAUAUAAUUAAAAAAAUCUAAUAUGUCAUAAAAACGUUAAAUGUACAAUGUAACAUAUACUACUUGUAUCAAAUGUUUAAAUACAUUAACUUCGUCGACA
rnacentral:lncRNA from 1 species